AGUUCAGUUCAUGAAACGAAGGCAUUCCCCUGCCACCUUGUGGCAAGGUAUCCUAAUUAGGUAUUAAAGGUUUUUUGGUUUUUUAGUUUUUUGUUUGUUUGUUUUUUACAAUUACAAUAUAUUUUUAGUUGCAAAUUUAGAGUUUUUUUAAAUGUUGAGUCUACCACUUAACAUUAUAAAAUUAUAUUUAGGACCUCUGAAACAUGCCAACCUAAUUCUAAAUAGUUCUUCAAUACAAUAAAAGCAAAUAGUCUAAAAUCCAACUGUGUUUUAAAGAACCAAUAAUUACGCAAAGUUUCCAUAGUGCUUUGAAUAUAGUUGGACUUCUAAAUUUCAAGAUGACAAAAAGGUAAGUUUUCUUUGUUAUUCUCUAAUGCAUUUUCUCACCAUGUAGUAAAAGAAACAGUAAGAGGAGUUUACAACUGCUACUACAUUUAAGUUUUGUGAGCUCAACCUGGGGUGGGAGGUUGAGAAAAUGUCCUAGAAAAGAUCACUGUAGCAGACUGAUUCCACUCUAUCCAGGGAAGUUCCUAAAGGAAUGUAUGUUGCUGCAGCAAAUGAAAUAUCUCAGUACACGGAUACCUGGAAAGAGCAAGUGGGGCAGCAAUGGAGGACCAAAAGAACUUCAAUCCUAAGAAAAAUGCUUUGGCAGAAAGGGCUUAACGGAACCACAGAAGGAUUCCAAGGAAGAGUUACAUUUCAGCCAAGAUUGAAGGAUGAGUAUAUUUCUCCAGGAAGUUACAGGGUAGAGAAUAAUAGAAGGCGAGAGAGGAAGAAAAGAGAAGGAUAAUUUUGCAGAGGGCAUAACAUGACCCAUGCCAGGUCGAAUGAAAAAGGCAAAGACAUUGGGGAUGGAAGAUGACCUGUUACUGAGAGGUAAGUCAUAUUACAAAAGUCAUGUUUGAAUUUUCUUUCCUGUAGGUAGAAGUACAUUGAAAUAUUUCAAUCAGGAGAGUCAUGUGAUCAGACUGUCAGUAUAGAAAUAUGUCUCUGACAGUAGAAUAAAAGUAUGAUUGGAAAAGAAACUGGAGGCUGGAAAACCAGUUGUUGCAAUUGUGCAGUGAGAAAUGACGGAUGUUUUAAUUAAGGAAUUACAAUGGGGUGAAAGAGGAGGAGCCACAUUAAGCGAUGUUUAGGAAGAACAAUCAACAUGACUAGGUAAAAACUGGAUGAAGGGGAGAGAGCAGGGGAAAGCUAGAUGCAAACUGGGUGGUGUUAUUUACCAGAAUAAGGAAUGUGUGUUUAAGGACUAAGUUUUGUGCAGAAGAUGACCAGGUUCGUCAGAUAUGCUGAGGUUAAGGUAAUUCCUGUAUAGCCACCUGCAAAUGUCUACAAGAUAUUUGUAAAAGGAUGGAGGGCAGAAGAGAUGAACGGGUCGAAGUCAUGAACUUGGUAGUAAUCUGGUUCUGAGUGUUAAUUGAAGUGAAGUUCCUUGAUGAAAUCUACAGAAUACAAAAGAGAUUAAAAGAGCCAAAGUCUCUUUUGCAUCCAAGAGACACUCACAUCCAAGAGGUAAAUGAAAGAGGGGAUCCAGUGAAAGAAAGGGAGGCAUUUCUUUCAAUAGGGGAAAUUAUUUUAAUUUGAAAUCCAGCGAGGAGGCAAUAUCAGUCUCAAGGAGUUGAUUUGAAAUUCUUUCUUUUAAUAUUUAAUAUAUAUGUUCACCCCUUAUAGGUAGUAGAUAAAAUAUUCUCCAUUUUCAUAAUUUUCCUAAGAUAAAAGAUAAUGAUCAUUUAAUGUAUGUUUAACUUUUGGUUUGUGGAAGGUCUUUCAUGCUUUGUUUUCUAUUUAAGUCUUCAAUUACUUCUCAGUAGAGAGCAAAACAAGAAAAAUUGUGAUUUCCUUCCUUGCAUCUAAAUCUGUAUUUAAUAACUGAAUGUCUGCAAACAGUACCAGGCAAUGCAGUAAUUAUAAGAUUACUAAAGGGCAUUGUUGGUAUGAACAUAUUUCAUUUAGAUGCAAACUUUGGUGCUGUAUUUCAGACACUUCGGAAAUACACUGAUCCAUACUAGAAAUUAGCAGAGAUUUACAACAUAUUGAUACUAACGGUUCAUCACAUGUUUACAAAUAUUUCUCUAUUAUUUGCUCCCAAGAUAACAAUUACCAUAGGUUUAUGAAAGGACGUGAUCUAGCUCUUCUGCUCCAUAUUAUGUUUCAAGAAGGACUUGAAUUGAAGGACUUGCAAUUGAAUCUUUAACCACAUAGAUUAAGUACUGAUUCUUCUAUUUCUUAGGUAUUAUUCUUGGGCAAGUUGGUUCAGUUUAUUUCAACAAUUUUUUUACUAAAUUUCUAUUAUUACCAAGUACUGGAGAAACAAAGCUAAAUGAAAUAUAAAUAUGUAUAGAACAUUUCAUAAUAAUAAGAGAAGUAGGCACAGGGCGCUGUGAGUUUGAAAGAGAUUCUUCUUAUUCAGCUUGAGGAAUAAGAGGUGGCCAGCAUUUCUGGAGGAGAGAUGCCCGAGGUGAUUUUUAGUCAUGGAAGUCAUCACCUUUUCUCCACCCCAAACCUGGUCACACAUGUUUGUGUCUAAAACUCUCUUUUAUUCCACUAAAAGAGAACAAAAAUGCAGUGCACAAUGAAUAAUAGGGUGUGCCUGGGGAACCAAAUGUAGUUUUGUAUUACCAGAAAUUAAAACAUGAGAUGUGGAUUUGUUGAAGUUCAGGCAGAUGUCAUGGAGGCUUCACAGGCUCGGAUGAAAGCUUGGCACGUAAUUGAAGUGAUUUGUUGACAUAAGAAAAGUAGUCACAGUUAAAUCUGCAUUGCUGUUACAUAACUCUGGUGGCAAUGUGUAGGGUGUAUUUGAAGGGGGCAAAUCUGGAACCAUUUUUAAUGCUUCAAUGAGGCAUGAUAAGGGCUUGAACUUGGCCAUGACAAAGUCGGGGAAAGGAAGGGCACAAUUAAGAAAAAGUAAGGAGGUAACUACUUAUGACAGUGCUUGUUGAGCUAGAAAAAGCACAGCUUUAAGAGCGAGUGAGGCCUGAACUUGAACCCCAGCUUAAUUACUUAAAAGCUUGAGCCUUUUACAAGUGACGGUAAUUCUUGAUUUUCUGUAAUCCUGAAAGCGAGGGUGACUUUGCUUUGUGUCAUCCUAGAGAUUAGGCAUAAUUUAAAGCACCUAAAAUAAAUAAUUACCAAAGGUCGGUUCCUGGUUAACAUAAGUAAACAAACCUGUUUCCCCUAUACUUCCUUGUACCUAAAUUUCCCCUGUACCUACUUACUUGUACCUAAAUUCCCCUACACUUCCUUUUACCUAAUCCUUGCCCUCUGCCUCAGGGUAAGAGAACAGCUGCCUUCAGUUUAUUCUCCCCAGAAGCUACACAGAGCCGUCUGACCUGUCAGAAGGUUUGCACCCUCUCCAUAUUUCUCCCACCACACUGACCAGUCUCCUACAUGACCUUUCAGGCUCUUAGCUUAAAUGCCAUGUGAAUAGGGUCAUUGUUUUAGGUUAUGGAUUUCUUCUUAUUAAGGGACACUAUGUAAGAGUCCUUUCAAAACUAUCAUAGAGAGAAAUACUUGCUAUAAAUAAUAUAAUAAUAAUAAUAAUAAUAAUAAUAAUAAUAGCAAGCAGGAU
rnacentral:lncRNA from 1 species